CACAGAAUGGAGCCUGCGUUCUCGGUUCCGGAAGCAGGAGGCGUCUUUCUCAGGAUGUGUCCCACCAAGCAACUGAAAACCAGUGGUCUCAAGAACAAAUAAUUCGGGACAUUAUAGAUCAGGGUUUGGAGCUGUUUGGGAAGAAUAACCUUCUCUUUGCUAUGAGACACUUCAAUACCUGAAAAUCCCCAGGGGAAGCUGGGUUCUAACCAGGAAGCAUAAGAAGGCC
rnacentral:lncRNA from 1 species